rnacentral:rRNA from 1 species
GAUGAACGUUGGCGGCGUGCCUAACACAUGCAAGUCGAACGAAAGUAGCAAUACUUUAGUGGCGCACGGGUGAGUAACACGUAGCUUACCUCCCUCUCAGCGCGGGAUAACGACUCGAAAGAGUUGCUAAUACCGCAUAAGCUCACGGGUUCUAGAGACUUGUGAGAAAAGGUGCAAAUCACUGAGAGACGGGGCUGCGGCCCAUCAGCUAGUUGGCGCGGUAAAGGCGCACCAAGGCGACGACGGGUAGGGGACCUGAGA